rnacentral:rRNA from 1 species
AGAGUUUGAUCAUGGCUCAGAACGAACGCUGGCGGCGUGGAUAAGACAUGCAAGUCGAGCGGGAUUUUUUCUUGUAGCAAUACGAGGAAAAGUCUAGCGGCGAACGGGUGCUUAACACGUGGGCAACCUGCCAUGAAGUGGGGGAUAGCUCGUCGAAAGGCGAAUUAAUACCGCAUGUGAUUAGAGUGGACAUCCAUUCAAAAUUAAAGUCGGGGCAACCUGACGCUUCUUGUGGGGCCCGCGGCCUAUCAGCUAGUUGGUGAGGUAACGGCCCACCAAGGCUUUGACGGGUAGCUGGUCUGAGAGGACGACCAGCCACACUGGGACUGAGACACGGCCCAGACACCUACGGGUGGCAGCAGUCGAGAAUUUUUGACAAUGGGGGAAACCCUGAUCGAGCGACGCCGCGUGGAGGAUGAAGGUCUUCGGAUUGUAAACUCCUGUCAUUGGGGAACAAUGCACAGAUAUUAACUGUAUUUGUGUUGAUAGUACCCGAAGAGGAAGAGACGGCUAACUCUGUGCCAGCAGCCGCGGUAAUACAGAGGUCUCAAGCGUUGUUCGGAUUCAUUGGGCGUAAAGGGUGCGUAGGCGGCGCGGUAAGUCGGGUGUGAAAUCUCGGGGCUUAACUCCGAAACUGCAUUCGAUACUGCCGUGCUUGAGGACUGGAGAGGAGACUGGAAUUUACGGUGUAGCGGUGAAAUGCGUAGAUAUCGUAAGGAAGACCAGUGGCGAAGGCGGGUCUCUGGACAGUUCCUGACGCUGAGGCACGAAGGUCAGGGGAGCAAACGGGAUUAGAUACCCCGGUAGUCC